GUUUCGUGCUACAUGGUUUGCAAUUCCCUCCAUUAGCCGUUCAAAAAGCAGUUACGAAGCGACACUAAAACGGUUACAAAGCCAUCUCUGCCGUCGUCCUUUGCUCUCACUGUGCAAAUUCUGCGUUAUUUCUUUCUUUUCUUCGACAAUGGCGAGGUUCAACUUGGAAGGCGACGAGAUUAAACCACUAACAAUCUGCUUGAUUUCCGGUGGCUGCUUCAUUGGAUCACACCUCUGCGAGAAGAUCUUGGCUGACACCUUUCACAAGGUCAUAGUUGUCGAUGUUUACACUGACAAGAUCAUCCAUCUCUUUAACAGGUCUUCCCCAUGGCUUGACCGCAUUGUUUUCCACAACGUCGACAACAACGCUGAAUCAUCUCGCCUCGAGCCAUUUAUGCAGAAAUCAGAUAUUAUUAUCAAUCUUACGUCAAUCAACCACCCAGCAGAUUACAAUACCAGGACAAUGGAUACAAUUUACUGCAACUUUAUUGAUGCAGUUCCAGUGGUUAGAUACUGUACUCGGAAGAAGAAACGUUUGAUUCAGUUCUCUUCCUGUGAAGUUUAUGGAAAGACUAUUGGGAGCUUUUUAACAGAAGAUCAUCCUCUCCGAGAGGACCCCAAAUUUUAUGUUCUCA
rnacentral:misc_RNA from 1 species